GACAGAGGAUGCAAGCGUUAUCCGGAAUUAUUGGGCGUAAAGAGCUCGUAGGCGGUCUGUCGCGUCUGCUGUGAAAACCUAGGGCUUAACUCUGGGCGUGCAGUGGGUACGGGCAGGCUAGAGUGCGGUAGGGGAGACUGGAAUUCCUGGUGUAGCGGUGAAAUGCGCAGAUAUCAGGAGGAACACCGGCGGCGAAGGCGGGUCUCUGGGCCGUAACUGACGCUGAGGAGCAAAGCAUGGGAGCGAACAGG
rnacentral:rRNA from 1 species